UUUGAUUUCCUUCGGGACUGAUUAUUUUGUGACUGAGUGGCGGACGGGUGAGUAACGCGUGGGUAACCUGCCUUGUACAGGGGGAUAACAGUUGGAAACGGCUGCUAAUACCGCAUAAGCGCACGGCAUCGCAUGAUGCAGUGUGAAAAACUCCGGUGGUAUAAGAUGGACCCGCGUUGGAUUAGCUAGUUGGUGAGGUAACGGCCCACCAAGGCGACGAUCCAUAGCCGACCUGAGAGGGUGACCGGCCACAUUGGGACUGAGACACGGCCCAAACUCCUACGGGAGGCAGCAGUGGGGAAUAUUGCACAAUGGGCGAAAGCCUGAUGCAGCGACGCCGCGUGAGCGAAGAAGUAUUUCGGUAUGUAAAGCUCUAUCAGCAGGGAAGAUAAUGACGGUACCUGACUAAGAAGCACCGGCUAAAUACGUGCCAGCAGCCGCGGUAAUACGUAUGGUGCAAGCGUUAUCCGGAUUUACUGGGUGUAAAGGGAGCGCAGGCGGUGCGGCAAGUCUGAUGUGAAAGCCCGGGGCUCAACCCCGGUACUGCAUUGGAAGCUGUCGUACUAGAGUGUCGGAGGGGUAAGCGGAAUUCCUAGUGUAGCGGUGAAAUGCGUAGAUAUUAGGAGGAACACCAGUGGCGAAGG
rnacentral:rRNA from 1 species